rnacentral:rRNA from 1 species
CGGGUGAGUAAUGUAUGGGGAUCUGCCUGAUGGCGGGGGAUAACUACUGGAAACGGUAGCUAAUACCGCAUAACGUCGCAAGACCAAAGAGGGGGACCUUAGGGCCUCUUGCCAUCGGAUGUGCCCAGAUGGGAUUAGCUAGUAGGUGGGGUAACGGCUCACCUAGGCGACGAUCCCUAGCUGGUCUGAGAGGAUGAUCAGCCACACUGGGACUGAGACACGGUCCAG